CAGUCGCCGCGGGAAUACGGAGGGGGCUAGCGUUGUUCGGAAUUACUGGGCGUAAAGCGCGCGUAGGUGGUUUGUUAAGUUGGAUGUGAAAUCCCCGGGCUCAACCUGGGAACUGCAUCCAAAACUGGCAGGCUAGAGUAGGGCAGAGGGUGGUGGAAUUUCCUGUGUAGCGGUGAAAUGCGUAGAUAUAGGAAGGAACACCAGUGGCGAAGGCGACCACCUGGGCUCAUACUGACACUGAGGUGCGAAAGCGUGGGGAGCAAACAGGAUUAGAUACCCCUGUAGUCCCUGUCUCUUAUAC
rnacentral:rRNA from 1 species